rnacentral:rRNA from 1 species
CGACCGGCGCACGGGUGAGUAACACGUAUGGAACCUGCCCGCAGCAGGGGGAUAAGCGGAAGAAAUUCCGUCUAAUACCGCGUAACAACGUUGGGAGGCAUCUCCCGAUGUUUAAAGAUUUAUCGGCUGCGGAUGGCCAUGCGGCGCAUUAGCUAGUCGGCGGGGUAACGGCCCACCGAGGCGACGAUGCGUAGGGGCUCUGAGAGGAAGGUCCCCCACACUGGUACUGAGACACGGACCAGACUCCUACGGAAGGCAGCAG